AAAACCGAGUGAAAGAAAAAAAAUCAAUUAAAAAAUCAGAUGCUCUCUACUAGGGUUUUAUCCCAACCCCUUUGCGCCGCUGCCCGUUCGCCAUGGUUUCGCCGCAACUAGUGGCCGGAGGCUCGCCGGAUUGGGUUUUUAACCCUUUUCGGAGCAGAUUCGAAGGCAAGGUAAGCCUCACCCCUUUUCCCUUUACUGCUAUUUUUUGUUAAAUAAAAUAAAAAAUACAAAAGAAAUGCAAUCACCUUUUGAAAAAUAUUCUUUGUAUUCUCAAUAUUCUCUAUGUGUUUCUCGUAUUUUACACUGAAAAAAACCCCCUUUUACCGAUUUUCAUGGCUUUAAAUAGCCGAAAUGGAAAAGAUAAAUGAAAUGGAAAAGAUAACUCAACAAAAUCAAAAAAGAGAUCUAUUCUGUUUUGUUGGCAUGAUUUUUGCUAUCUUGUUGAUGCAGGUACUGUUGGAGGAGAAUACGCGCGACGUGGAGGCGCAACUCUCGCGGAAGAGGCCUCUAGCUCCGAGUUGUGCGCCGCUUGGGACUGCUGGAGGUGGGGGCUGCUGCUAGGGUUUCUCAACCCUUCCAUUUUCCAUUAGUUUCGAGCCUGGAUUAGGAAUUAGCUAUUGGGCCCGUUUAUUGGGCUUGUAUUUUUUGUUUGGGUUUAUUCGUUAAUAGGCCAGGCCAAAAUUGGUAUUACAUUUCUAAUAUAUAAAUGUUAUGUGUUUUAUAUGAAAUUGAAGAGAAAGAAAAGAAAGGAAAGGACCUAAUUGAAGAAAAAGUAAAAGAGAAGGCUAAGGAGUGAAGGAAGAUAUCAUCUCAACCUUUUUGUUGUAAGUACUACAAGGUUAUUUUUAUUUUAAAUUAUUUUAUUUAAAUGCCUAUAUUAUAGUAUAGAAUUAUUUAGAAAUAAAAUAAAAUAAAGUAAAAUAAAAGAUUAUGGAGCUAUGAAAUUUGUAAAGAAAAUUAUAGAUGGAAAGUAUAUAGUGGUAUAUUGAUUGAACAUUAAGAAAAUAUUGUGACAAAAGUAUAUAUAUGUGAAAAUGGUGUGAUAAUUGUGAAUUGUGAAAUGUGCCCUAAAUUGUAAUGAUGGAGAAAUGAGAAAUCUUUUUCGAAAUAAUUCUAUAAAGUAUUUAAUUGAAUGAGAUUCAGUUUUAAUGCCCAAGUAGAUGAAAUUUAGAACUACCAGGAUAGUAGUGGCAUGCCAUUAAGGAACUUUAGCGCGCUCUCUGAUUAUUAGCACGUUAGUGCUCUCUGACUACUAGCACGUUGGUGCUCUCUGAUUUUAGCACGUCAGUGCUCUCUGUUUAGCACAUCUGUGCUCUCUGUAUAGCACUUUAGUGCUCUCUGUUCAUUAGUGCAUACCAAUGCACCUCUGUAUUUGUUCCGUAUAUUCGGUGUGUUCUAUAAAAUCUACUUUGGGCUAAGAUUAUGAUUUGUGGAUAAAAGCGAAUCAUUAAAAUGCUAAGGUAAGUUUUAUGAAGCUUAUACGUACAUAAAUACGUAAUAACAGAAAGAGAUUGACAUAUUUUGUUUAUAUUUGUUUAUCAGUUUAUUUCUUGUAGUGCUUACUAAGCCUUCACCGGCUUAACGCGUUUAAUUUUAACGCGUAGGUACAGUUUGUCUCGAAGAGGUAAAGUCAGGAUAGAAGAUCUCUCAUCUCAUCACAUCCUCAAGAGCUUCAAAAGUAGGUACCAUAUUUUGAAUUAAAAUGGCAUGUACAUAGACAGUCAGUUAUGCUUCCAUGUGUUAGGAACUAAAAUGUAAACUCUUGGACUUCUAUAUAUUUUUAAGUACUUUUCGUAUUUUGGUAUAUAUAUGAAAUGAAUUAGUAAAACUAUAUGUAUGUUUGCAAAUAUGGUUGGUAAGUUAAAAUGCUAUGUAUAAAUGUUUUAAUUAAACAAUAUCUAGCUAUAACCGUUUGGCACCAAAUGUAAUAGCCUUAUACUGGGUCAGUACGAUUAGACCAUGUAUAGGGUUGUUACAAUUAUGGAAAUUUUAAAUUUUAAUUAUUUCACAUAAUUUUAACAUUUAACUACAACCAUAUCUAUUAUAUAUAUUAAAACUAAAAUAAUUAAUGCAUACAUAUAACCACAAUCAUAAUUAAUCAAUCAUUAUAAUGCACAAACGAAAGGAUUAUUGACCUAAAUCUACUUAUUUAACUGGGUAGGUAAGGGAUUUGGCCCCUUUAGUUAAAUGGGCAAAUCCUAUUUUUAGUUCUUCCUAAAUCUAUACUAUGUAUAAUGUAUUUAAUUAAGUCAGUGUCACAAGUUAAGCGGAUAUUGACUUAAUUGAGAAAUUACUAAAAGCUCUUUCCUUUUACAAAGAAACAAAAAUUAUUUUAAGGGUAUUUUUAUCUUUUUACAUUUUAUGUAAACACAAACUAUCAUGGUUUUUAGAAUUCUAAAUUUAUCAUUUCAACCAACCUCACAUUUAUUGUAAUGUAAAUUUUUUAUAUAAAAUAUGAUACGAUUUUUUUCCAUCAUUGAAAUUAACUUUAUAGUCUAUUGAAUAAAUAGAAAAUGUUUAUGUUUGGUCCAUCUUAAAAAUUAUAUUUAAUUUAAUUUAAUUUUUUUUAGUAACUUCACCUCACCCAUGUUGAAUGUAGAUAAAAUGAGAUCAUGGAGAAGGAAAAAGAAAAAAAAGUUAAACAGGGAAAAGAAUGUAGAGAAAAAAAGAUGGAAGGGGGAAAUGAAGAAAGAAACAAGAUGUCCCAUUGAUACUCUUUAUCUAU
rnacentral:lncRNA from 1 species